GUGGGGAAUAUUGCACAAUGGGCGGAAGCCUGAUGCAGCAACGCCGCGUGCGGGAUGACGGCCUUCGGGUUGUAAACCGCUUUCAGCAGGGACGAAGCGCAAGUGACGGUACCUGCAGAAGAAGCACCGGCUAACUACGUGCCAGCAGCCGCGGUGAUACGUAGGGUGCGAGCGUUGUCCGGAUUUAUUGGGCGUAAAGAGCUUGUAGGCGGUUGGUUGCGUCGAAAGUGCAAACUCAGGGCUUAACUCUGAGCCUGCUUUCGAUACGGGCUGACUGGAGGAAGGUAGGGGCGAAUGGAAUUCCCGGUGGAGCGGUGGAAUGCGCAGAUAUCGGGAGGAACACCAGUGGCGAAGGCGGUUCUCUGGACCUUUCCUGACGCUGAGAAGCGAAAGCGUGGGGAGCAAACAGGCUUAGAUACCCCGGUAGUCC
rnacentral:rRNA from 1 species